rnacentral:lncRNA from 1 species
UGUGAUUAGGGCAAACCUGUAAUGACACAGAUAGCUACAUCAUAUAUGUGGAAUCGCAAGAGAGGGGGGAGUAAAGAGAAAAAGAGAGACAGUGGAAAAGGAUUAGUGUGUCAAAGUAAAAGCAAGAAAAAUGCCUUGUUAUUUGCUAACUAUUAUGUGCUUUAAGGGAAGGUUUAUCAUUGAGGAAAUUAUAUUGCAAGUCUUUUCUUUUUGUUCAACUUUGUUUACUUCUUGUUUUUAAUUAAAUAAAGUAAACACACAACAUCGAAUGCAAAUUGGUCAAUGUCUUAACAAUAAUAAAAUGUAAGUAAAGCC